rnacentral:rRNA from 1 species
CCUACGGGAGGCAGCAGUCGAGAAUCAUUCACAAUGGGGGAAACCCUGAUGGUGCGACGCCGCGUGGGGGAAUGAAGGUCUUCGGAUUGUAAACCCCUGUCAUGUGGAGCAAAGUAAAAAGAUAGAACCACAAGAGGAAGAGACGGCUAACUCUGUGCCAGCAGCCGCGGUAAGACCGAGGUCUCAAGCGUUGUUCGGAAUCACGGGGCGUAAAGCGUGCGUAGGCGGGUUCGUAUGUCGUGUGUGAAAGGCGCGGGCUCAACCCGCGGACGGCACCGGAUACUGCGAGACUAGAGUACUGGAGGGGGAACCGGAAUUCUCGGUGUAGCAGUGAAAUGCGUAGAUAUCGAGAGGAACACUCGUGGCGAAUGCGGGUUCCUGGACAUUACCUGACGCUGAGGCACGAAGGCCAGGGGAGCGAACUGGAUUAGAUACCCCUGUAGUC